AGAGUUUGAUCCUGGCUCAGGACUAACGCUGGCGGCGUGCCUAAUACAUGCAAGUAGAACGCUGAAGAGAGGAGCUUGCUCUUCUUGGAUGAGUUGCGAACGGGUGAGUAACGCGUAGGUAACCUGCCUUGUAGCGGGGGAUAACUAUUGGAAACGAUAGCUAAUACCGCAUAACAAUGGAUGACCCAUGUCAUUUAUUUGAAAGGGGCAAAUGCUCCACUACAAGAUGGACCUGCGUUGUAUUAGCUAGUAGGUGAGGUAACGGCUCACCUAGGCGACGAUACAUAGCCGACCUGAGAGGGUGAUCGGCCACACUGGGACUGAGACACGGCCCAGACUCCUACGGGAGGCAGCAGUAGGGAAUCUUCGGCAAUGGGGGCAACCCUGACCGAGCAACGCCGCGUGAGUGAAGAAGGUUUUCGGAUCGUAAAGCUCUGUUGUAAGUCAAGAACGAGUGUGAGAGUGGAAAGUUCACGCUGUGACGGUAGCUUACCAGAAAGGGACGGCUAACUACGUGCCAGCAGCCGCGGUAAUACGUAGGUCCCGAGCGUUGUCCGGAUUUAUUGGGCGUAAAGCGAGCGCAGGCGGUUUGAUAAGUCUGAAGUUAAAGGCUGUGGCUCAACCAUAGUUCGCUUUGGAAACUGUCAAACUUGAGUGCAGAAGGGGAGAGUGGAAUUCCAUGUGUAGCGGUGAAAUGCGUAGAUAUAUGGAGGAACACCGGUGGCGAAAGCGGCUCUCUGGUCUGUAGCUGACGCUGAGGCUCGAAAGCGUGGGGAGCGAACAGGAUUAGAUACCCUGGUAGUCCACGCCGUAAACGAUGAGUGCUAGGUGUUGGAUCCCUUCCGGGAUUCAGUGCCGCAGCUAACGCAUUAAGCACUCCGCCUGGGGAGUACGACCGCAAGGUUGAAACUCAAAGGAAUUGACGGGGGCCCGCACAAGCGGUGGAGCAUGUGGUUUAAUUCGAAGCAACGCGAAGAACCUUACCAGGUCUUGACAUCCCGAUGCUAUUUCUAGAGAUAGAAAGUUACUUCGGUACAUCGGUGACAGGUGGUGCAUGGUUGUCGUCAGCUCGUGUCGUGAGAUGUUGGGUUAAGUCCCGCAACGAGCGCAACCCCUAUUGUUAGUUGCCAUCAUUCAGUUGGGCACUCUAGCGAGACUGCCGGUAAUAAACCGGAGGAAGGUGGGGAUGACGUCAAAUCAUCAUGCCCCUUAUGACCUGGGCUACACACGUGCUACAAUGGUUGGUACAACGAGUUGCGAGUUGGUGACGGCAAGCUAAUCUCUUAAAGCCAAUCUCAGUUCGGAUUGUAGGCUGCAACUCGCCUACAUGAAGUCGGAAUCGCUAGUAAUCGCGGAUCAGCACGCCGCGGUGAAUACGUUCCCGGGCCUUGUACACACCGCCCGUCACACCACGAGAGUUUGUAACACCCGAAGUCGGUGAGGUAACCUUUUGGAGCCAGCCGCCUAAGGUGGGAUAGAUGAUUGGGGUGAAGUCGUAACAAGGUA
rnacentral:rRNA from 1 species